UACGAAGGGGGGCUAGCGUUGCUCGGAAUUACUGGGCGUAAAGGGCGCGUAGGCGGCACUGUUAGUCAGGCGUGAAAGUCCUGGGCUCAACCCGGGAACUGCGUCCGAUACUGGAAGGCUUGAAUCCGGGGAGAGGGAUGCGGAAUUCCAGGUGUAGCGGUGAAAUGCGUAGAUAUCUGGAGGAACACCGGUGGCGAAGGCGGCAUCCUGGACCGGUAUUGACGCUGAGGCGCGAAAGCCAGGGGAGCAAAGCGGGG
rnacentral:rRNA from 1 species